CACGUAGUUAGCCGGGGCUUCUUACUCAGGUACCGUCUGCUGACCGUAAGGUCAGUAUUUCUUCCCUGCUGAUAGGGCUUUACGUAACGAAUUACUUCUUCACUCACGCGGCGUCGCUGCAUCAGGGUUUCCCCCAUUGUGCAAUAUUCCCCACUGCUGCCUCCCGUAGGAGUCUGGGCCGUGUCUCAGUCCCAAUGUGGCCGUCCGCCCUCUCAGGCCGGCUACUGAUCGUCGCCUUGGUGGGCCGUUACCCCGCCAACAAGCUAAUCAGACGCGGGUCCAUCUUACACCACCGGAGUUUUUCACACCGCUUCAUGCGAAGCUGUGCGCUUAUGCGGUUUUAGCACCUAUUUCUAAGUGUUAUCCCCCUGUGUAAGGCAGGUUACCCACGCGUUACUCACCCGUCCGCCACUAACCCAUAUAUCACUAGGUUUCAAUAUGGGUCCGUUCGACUUGCAUGUGUUAAGCACGCCGCCAGCGUUCAUCCUGAGCCAGGAUCAAACUCU
rnacentral:rRNA from 1 species